CCUACGGGAGGCAGCAGUCGAGAAUUAUUCACAAUGGGGGAAACCCUGAUGGUGCGACGCCGCGUGGGGGAAUGAAGGUCUUCGGAUUGUAAACCCCUGUCAUGUGGGAGCAAAUUAAAAAGAUAGUACCCCAAGAGGAAGAGACGGCUAACUCUGUGCCAGCAGCCGCGGUAAUACAGAGGUCUCAAGCGUUGUGCGGAAUCACUGGGCGUAAAGCGUGCGUAGGCUGUUUCGUAAGUCGUGUGUGAAAGGCGCGGGCUCAACCCGCGGACGGCACAUGAUACUGCGAGACUAGAGUAAUGUAGGGGGAACCGGAAUUCUCGGUGUAGCAGUGAAAUGCGUAGAUAUCGAGAGGAACACUCGUGGCGAAGGCGGGUUCCUGGACAUUAACUGACGCUGAGGCACGAAGGCCAGGGGAGCGAAAGGGAUUAGAUACCCUGGUAGUC
rnacentral:rRNA from 1 species